UUAAGAUUGAUAAUUCUCUUCGGAGUGAUUCUUUUAGGAAACUUUUAGAAAGCACAUAUAAAAAUCAAAGAGAAGUAUGUUUAGAAUGUUCUAGGCAACUCCUUUUACCCCCAUAUCAAAAGUUAAUCCAAUACAGAGUUUUGAGAUGUGUCUAUGUAUAAGUAUAUAACAUAUAUUUAUGAAGCUACUUUUUUCUUGUAGGCAUAUAACAAUUUUUUAUAUAUUUUUAUAUAUUGUCAUCUUGCAUUCCCUAUCAUUUAAAAAAUGCUUUUGACUUUAGCUAUCACUUUGUUGUUUUUGUUAAAUGUUACAUGCUUGUUCAGAUUCUCCAUGCUGUUCCUGUAUAUGCCUCCUAAUGAAGUGAGGCUGGGAGAUGGGGUAAUAACACAUAAAGAGCCCAAGCUCUUAUUAGGCUAGUCACAUACUUUAAUGUAGUUCUUUUUAGAGCAUUAAAAAAAAAAUUCUGGCUGGAGAGACAGCUCAGCAGUUAAGAGCACCAACUGCUCUUCUAGAGGUCAUGAGUUCAAAUCCCAGCAACCACAUGGUGGCUCACAACCAUCCAUCUUUAAUGAGAGACAGUAAAUUAAAAAAAGAAAAUCCCACCGUUGCAUACACUAGCAAGAUUUUGCUGAUAGGACCCUGAUAUAGCUGUCUCUAGUGAGACUACACCGGGGCCUAGCAAACACAUAAGUGGAUGCUCACAGUCAGCUAUUGGAUGAAUCACAGGGCCCCAAUGGAGGAGCUAGAGAAAGUACCCAAGGAGCUAAAAGGAUCUGCAACCCUAUAGGUGGAACAACAUUAUGAACUAACCAGUACCCUGGAGUUCUUGACUCUAGCUGCUUAUGUAUCAAAAGAUGGCCUAGUCGGCCAUCAUUGGAAAGAGAGGCCCAUUGGACUUGCAAACUUUAUAUGCCCCAGUACAGGGGACCGCCAGGGCCAAAAAGUGGGAGUGGGAAGAUAGGGGAGUGGGGGGGAAGGUAUGGGGGACUUUUGGGAUAGAUUGGAAAUUAAUUGAGGAAAAUACCUAAUUUAAAAAAAAAUACUACC
rnacentral:lncRNA from 1 species